rnacentral:rRNA from 1 species
UACGUAGGGUGCGAGCGUUGUCCGGAUUUAUUGGGCGUAAAGAGCUCGUAGGCGGCUUGUCGCGUCGACUGUGAAAUCCCGCGGCUCAACUGCGGGUCUGCAGUCGAUACGGGCAGGCUAGAGUUCGGUAGGGGAGACUGGAAUUCCUGGUGUAGCGGUGAAAUGCGCAGAUAUCAGGAGGAACACCGGUGGCGAAGGCGGGUCUCUGGGCCGAUACUGACGCUGAGGAGCGAAAGCGUGGGAAGCGAACAGG